rnacentral:rRNA from 1 species
UACCUGCAGCUCGAGUGGUAACCGCUAUUAUUGGGCCUAAAGCGUCCGUAGCCGGUUUGGUAAAUAUCUGGGUAAAUCGUGAGGCUUAACUUCACGAAUUUCGGAUAGACUGCCAGACUUGGGAUCGGGGGGAGGUCAGAGGUACUCCAGGGGUAGCGGUGAAAUGUUGUAAUCCUUGGAGGACCACCGGUAGCGAAGGCGUCUGACUAGAACGAGUCCGACGGUGAGGGACGAAGCCCUGGGGCGCAAACCGGAUUAGAUACCCGGGUAGUCCAGGGUGUAAACGAUGUGGGCUUUGUAUUGGAGGUCCCACGUGGGCGUCCAGUGCAGAAGAGAAGUUGUUAAGCCCACCGCCUGGGAAGUACGGUCGCAAGGCUGAAACUUAAAGGAAUUGGCGGGGGAGCACAGCAACGGGAGGAGCGUGCGGUUU